GGAAUAGCUCACUGGUAGAGCGCAUGCUUGGCAUGCACAAGGUCCUGGGUUCAAUCCCCAGUACAUCCA
rnacentral:tRNA from 1 species